CAGACGUCCCGGCUGCUUUUAGCAUCUCAGAAGCCCAAACCGGCUGUGACCAAUAUGGAGGCGAAGCUGAGCUUUCUUUGUCUCCAGCAGGGCAGGCGCUGAGGACUUACACAAAAUAAACAUGCAUCAGGAUCCUCAAAGACAAGAAAAGAUUGAGAAAACAUGGAAGGUGGCAAAGGCUAAGGAGAAAUAACAACUGAAUGUAAAGCGGAUCCUGGAUCAGAAAAAAAGACAUUAGUGGGAAAAUGGCAGAAUUUCCAUUAAGAUCUGCAGCUCAGUUUAUAAUGUUGUACCACCAUGAAGUUCCUGUUCUCAAAAUAUCUACAAUUAGUUAUGUGGUUCCCUUUAGAGCAAGAGGGCUUGUGAGAUGUUAUAAAGACUGUACAUGGCCUAUUGUUGUACCUCUUCUAUAAUAUGAAAGUGAGUUGACAACUCCUUCAGGGACAAUCACAUUCACACAUUCAAUGAAGACUUGAGACAAGGAUCCUACCGCACAUCGUAGGCUCCCCUUGCCACCUCUUCAGACUGACUUUGAGUCAGAGUUCCCUCUUGUCCAGCAAGAGAGUGGAUGCAGAAUUGAAUACAAGAGAGGCUAAUGUCCGGGAGGAGACGAGAGCCCCAAGUAAGGGUCCUUGCUCCAUAUUUAUUAGGAUCAGAAGGCUUACAAACAUGAUGGACAUGCAGAAAGAGACAAUAAAACACUAACCAUUAAUUCAUGUGUGUGAGAGAAAGGGGGUUUCAAAGGUAUGUGGUGUUAGGGGUUUGGGUCAAUACAAAUCAAAGUCCCAGUGCUGAGCAGAUGGCCGUUUACUGCAGCCACCAGGCACUGUGUCUGUUUAUCUUAACUUGUCUAGGGGCUAACCCUGCUGCCUCAGGGUUAACAAGGCAUUUUUCUUGCUAAUUGGCUCUGGACGUUUUUACCCUGCUGCAGGGGCUUUCUGCUUCUACCUGUUCACAGACACUUCCAUCCUGUGGAAGUGACUUUCCGCUCUAUGCUUUCUACACUGGUGGCACUUUCUCCCUGUGCUGGCUUUCCACCCUAAGCCUUGUUAACCCAUUGGUGAAAGCUCAGGAAAUUCUUAAGCUUAUUCCUCACAUUAUUUGUUUCUGUAGGUCUUAAAAUUUUUUGUCUUUCAUUUCCUCCAUUCCUUCCUUUGAGUUUGGCUUUAAAUGUAGAACACUGAAAGCAGCUGUUUUUGCACAUCCUUGGGAUACUCUUGGGAAACAUGGUACUAAAGAAUGUGAGUACAAGUCAAAAACUAUUCAGGAUUACCCAUGUUUCCUUCAGCUUUAGAGGAGAGCUCAGAGGGGGGAAGAAUCGUAGGCUCACUGGGAGGUGUAAACCACCACAAGCCCAGUCAGCAGUUGUGGCUUGAGGGAUGAAAGUCAUCUGACUGGCUCCAUGUUGCCGCAGAGCAGUUGUCCUCUGUGGUAUCCUCAGCACAUAGCAUAGUACAUGGCACACAAUAUGAAUUCAAUAAGAAUUUGGUAGGUGAAUAGAGAAAUUCCACCAAUGGCUCUGUCUGUAGGCUUCAUCUAGUGACUAGCACACAGUAGGAGCUCAAUAAAUAGCAACUGCUAUGGGCAGUUGAGAUGGUAGAGUGGUUAAGUCUCUGAUAUUUGGAAUAAAAGAAAUCACAGCAACUCCACUUAUGUGCUAUUGGGGCUGAGUAGGUCACAUAACCUCUCUGAGAUUCAAUUUCCUCAUAUGUAGGAUGAGAAUUUACAUCAUGGGGUCCAGUGGGGAUUAAAGAAGCUAAUCCAUGAAGAGCCUAGUAUAUGCUGAGUGCCCAGCAAGUUAUAGCUAUUGAAAUUAAUAUUAUUACCAAAAUGUUAAGUAACUCUGGUAAACACUGCUGUUUUCAUUCCAGGAUUUGCAAAACAAGGACUGAGCAGAUCACCUCCACAUUUCUUCCACGCUACAAUUCUGUGAAUUGGAAAUGAGGAGACUUCAGUAGGGUCCAUACCAUAGAGUUGUGAGGGGUGAAUGAGAGAAGCCAUGUAAAGCAUGAAGCCCAGGAAUAGGAACAGUAAGUGUUUGAGAAGUGGAAAUUGCUGUUACCAUUAUCAUCAACAAGAAGCGCAAAAAGUCCAUUUUCCUAAAAAAGAAAUUGUAUAUUUAUAGAAACCACAUUGUUUGAUUUAUCAUUUAUGAUCAGUUUUAAAGAUAUAAGAAGUUUUAAUACUGGCGUCAAAUGUGAAUUUUCUUUAUUAAAAUAUAAACAAAAAUAAACCCAUGUGUCAGCUGAGAGAGGGGGAUGUUUGUUAUUCAGUGGGCCACAGAGGGACCUUGUUUUAUUUCAUGUUGUCAUGGUCUCAGAGAAACCUUGUCUGAUAUGAUGUCUGUGAGAUUGUUUAUGUCCAACAGGAGGAAAGAAUGGCCUGGUAGUGAACAUCAGCCCUGUUUCCAAAUGUUGGGGGAAUUCCUUUCUCACAACUUUUCAUUCACAUUCAUGCAGCAGACAUUUAGUGAGCACCUACUAGAUGCCAGGCCACGCAGCAGUGAUGGUGAAUACAGGGGUAAACAAUACUCUCUACACGUUAGACUUCCCAGCAUGCAGGAAAAGAGCAGGGGAAAAGUUAGAAAAGGGGAAGAACAGGUGCAGCCAUCUGAAGGGCCAGAGAAGAUUCCCUGAAGAGGAAGUAAUACCAAGUAGGAAAAGCACGGAUGAGUCUGGAGGUGGGGGCAGCCUCUGGGGAAAACUAGUGCGUUUCUAACAGAAAGGGAUAGCUUUAAAAGAUGACGCUGCAGAGCUAAGCAAGAGCUAAACCUCUGGUAAACCUUAACAAUGUUAAGGAUUUUCAAGGUAUGUGGCUUAAAAAAAAAGGAAAAGGAAAAGAAAAAGAACAAAAAGGCAAGUGUUUUAUAAUUUUUAGUACAAACUUUGCUUUACUGUGCAGAUCUUUAAAAAUAUAGGUGGUAGAGAUAUAGAUACUGAUAUAUCAGCAUAGCAAUAUAUCUAAAAUAUAUUAAUUUUUAAAAGUAAGUUUCUUAAGAGUAUGUACAAGAGGCUACAAUUAAAAAAUAUAAAUAUGGACACCACGAAUGCCCAAACACAAGGUGACCCCAAAUCUAAGGUACUUUUUCCAAUGCAGUAAUAUUUCACAGUGAGCCAGGAAGAUUUUGUUGGGAUUGUCCUGAUUGUAUAAAUUUUUAGGGAAAUGAGAUAUGUACUUAUAAUAUGUAUUAGUUUAGAUGAAUUAUAUAUUUAAAUUGAAUGAAUAAUAUAUAAAUUUUGGUCUUUUCCAAUUUCAUGUUUUGAAAAAAAAUUUUUUUUAACUCUCUACAAGUAGCAGUGUUUUUCUCAUCCCCAAAGCAAUUUUUUGAUAAUUUUUAAAUGUUUAUUUAUAUUUGAGAGAGAGUGCACAUGCAUGCACGAGUGGGGGAGGGGCAGAGAGAUGGAGACAGAAUCUGAAACAGGCUCCAGGCUUGGAGCUGUCAGCACAGAGCCCAACAGGGGGCUCAAACUCACAAGAUCAUGACCUGAGCUAAAGGCAGACACUUAACCAAUUGAGCCACCCAGGCACCUCCCCCAAAGCUAUUUUUGAGGUUUGUAAGCCAGUUUUCCAGGGUCCAUCAUUUUCUCUUCUAAGUAGAAUAAGAAGUGGAAUCUGAACAUUAUUGACAAUGAUGCAUUCAUUGCAUGCAUUCAUGUGACAUUAAUACAUUUUUCUAUUUAUCCUGUAGAUACGUAUAUAUUUUAAGUAAUGUGUACACUCAAUGUGGGGCUCUAACUCAUGACCCCAAGAUCAAGAGUUGCAUGCUCCCCCAAAUGAGCCAGCCAGGCACCCCUAUAGGUAUAUAUUUCUUAUCUUCAAAAUAUCAAAAUAGGAUUUCCUAUUUAAAUAAUUGUUAAAAUACUUGUGUGCAAUGCUAUCCAGUCUAUGCAAAUGUACAGUCAUCUUCCCAGGAAUAACUGCCAAAUCUGAACUAAGUUUCUCUGCCACUUGUUUGACUAAUUUC